rnacentral:rRNA from 1 species
GUAGGGUGCGAGCGUUAAUCGGAAUUACUGGGCGUAAAGCGAGCGCAGACGGUUAUUUAAGCAAGAUGUGAAAGCCCCGGGCUCAACCUGGGAACUGCGUUUUGAACUGGGUAACUAGAGUGUGUCAGAGGGGGGUAGAAUUCCACGUGUAGCAGUGAAAUGCGUAGAGAUGUGGAGGAAUACCGAUGGCGAAGGCAGCCCCCUGGGAUAACACUGACGUUCAUGCUCGAAAGCGUGGGUAGCAAAC